AUAGAGAUUAAGGUACAGUCUCGGUCCUCUCCCUAUAGAGAUUAAGGUACAGUCUCGGUCCUCUCCCUAUAGAGAUUAAGGUACAGUCUCGGUCCUCUCCCUAUAGAGAUUAAGGUACAGUCUCGGUCCUCUCCCUAUAGAGAUUAAGGUACAGUCUCGGUCCUCUCCCUAUAGAGAUUAAGGUACAGUCUCGGUCCUCUCCCUAUAGAGAUUAAGGUACAGUCUCGGUCCUCUCCCUAUAGAGAUUAAGGUACAGUCUCGGUCCUCUCCCUAUAGAGAUUAAGGUACAGUCUCGGUCCUCUCCCUAUAGAGAUUAAGGUACAGU